UUAGAAAUGGACGAAAGUCUGAUCUAGCAACACCGCGUGUGCGAAGAAGGCCUUCGGGUCGUAAAGCACUUUUUGGAAGGAAUAGGAAGGAAUGUACUUCCAGAAUAAGUCUCGGCUAACUACGUGCCAGCAGCCGCGGUAACACGUAGGAGGCGAACGUUAUCCGGAUUUACUGGGCGUAAAGCGCGUGUAGGUGGUACUGUAAGUAGGGCGUGAAAGCUCCUGGCGCAACUGGGAGAGGCCGUUCUAAACUACAGAACUAGAGGAUGGUAGAGGGAGGUGGAAUUCCAGGUGUAGCGGUGGAAUGCGCAGAUAUCUGGAGGAACACCGGUAGCGAAGGCGGCCUCCUGGACCAUACCUGACACUCAGACGCGAAAGCUAGGGUAGCAAACGG
rnacentral:rRNA from 1 species